UAUGAAGGGGGCAAGCGUUACUCGGAAUUACUGGGCGUAAAGCGUGCGUAGGUGGUGCGUUAAGUCUGUCGUGAAAGCCCCGGGCUCAACCUGGGAAUGGCGAUGGAUACUGGCUCGCUAGAGUGCGGUAGAGGAGAGUGGAAUUCCCGGUGUAGCAGUGAAAUGCGUAGAGAUCGGGAGGAACAUCAGUUGCGAAGGCGGCUACCUGGCCCAAUACUGACACUCAGGUGCGACAGCGUGGGGAGCAAACAGG
rnacentral:rRNA from 1 species